rnacentral:rRNA from 1 species
GACGAACGCUGGCGGCGUGCUUAACACAUGCAAGUCGAACGGUGAAGGGACCGGUUUUUGCUGGUUCUGGAUGGGUGGCGAACGGGUGAGUAACACGUGAGUAACCUGCCCCCUUCUUCUGGAUAACCGCAUGAAAGUGUGGCUAAUACGGGAUAUUCUGCGCCUGCUGCAUGGUGGGUGUGGGAAAGAUAUUGUUUCGGUGGGGGAUGGGCUCGCGGCCUAUCAGCUUGUUGGUGGGGUGAUGGCCUACCAAGGCGGUGACGGGUAGCCGGCCUGGGAGGGUGGACGGUCACACUGGGACUGAGACACGGCCCAGACUCCUACGGGAGGCAGCAGUGGGGAAUAUUGCACAAUGGGCGCAAGCCUGAUGCAGCGACGCCGCGUGAGGGAUGGAGGCCUUCGGGUUGUAAACCUCUUUCGCCAGUGAAGCAGGCCUGUCCCUUUUGUGGGUGGGUUGACGGUAGCUGGAUAAGAAGCGCCGGCUAACUACGUG